rnacentral:lncRNA from 1 species
CAAUAUUUAUACAUGGAUUCAUUUCUUUCAAAUUUAUGUGAUACUAUGUCUAUGUGAGGUUGAUAAGGAAGAACUAAUUUUUUGUUCUUUCCUUACCUUUCUAAUACAGGAACUGUUAGGCAGACCAAUUAGUUUGAAAUUUAGUCAAAAAAGCAUUGGUGAAGCUCAAAGUAAAGAGGAAAAUACUUCUGAGGAACAACUUGAAGAGUCAUAGUUCAGAAUAAACUAUUUGGGCCUCUUGAUUUGUUGUUGAUGGAUAAAGAGGCAAUAGCAAAUAUCUUCACCUCAAUGUGCACAAGAAGCUAAUGAAGAGCAUUAUGUUCACGACAAUUUUGCAUUUACUGUAAAUGCACUCUUUGUGAGUACUCCAAAUUAACUGUUCAUGUAUCUACUAACUUUUUCAUCAAGUGUGAAUGUUAUAUGUUACCUGUACUGUUUACAUUUGUAAAGAUUAUUUAUUAUAUGUAGUACAUUUUGUUGUUACUUAAUAUUUUUCGGCAUUACCUAUUGAUAGCUCGUUGAUAAGGUAUUUGUUUGGAUGUGAAUUGAAUGAGGACAAUUGUCAUGCUCUUGUUAAUUACUCAUUUUGUAUUUUUUGUUGCAGUCUGCACAAUACAUCACCAAUUAACAAAACCAGUCUUUACCUUGUCAAGUUUCUGAUUGAAAGAAUGUUGUAUUUUUUCAUGCUGAAUAUCAGUGGUAGCAUUCAAUUUACACUAAAGUAUCAAGAGUACAAUUCGAACAGUAAUUGUCUAAAGGUAUUUGUUUUUUAGGAUUGUAUAUAGUUCUGUAUUGAAAGAAGGAUCUGUAUCCCACAAAUGACAAAACUGACUGAAAUGAUGCGUGAUUAGAUAGGUUAUUUGAAUUCCCCGUAAGCAAAAAACUUGAGUGUAGUGUACAAGUACUUACCUAAAGGUAUUUGUUUUUAAAUGUAGGUUAUAAGUCUACAGAUGUUGAGGAUAUAUAUGUUCUGGUUGGUUGAUGAGGCAAAGUCUCAACCACAAUGUAUAACUGAAGACCUUCUCAACAACUAUACAUUGAAUAAUGUCAUUCAAAAGUUCAAAGUGCAAAUGCUACACAAUUGUCUUUAUAUUAAUUUAAUAGUACAAAAAUGCACUUAGUUGCAUUUGAGGGGAGUGUUAAGUAUGAUAUACACCCUAUCUAAUAGAUUAAUAAGCUUUUAUACGAGUGGUUAUGUUGAGCAUGACAAUGUACUACACCCUGUUGAUUGCUUUCAACUUAAUUAAGGAAGAAUAGUAUAUUAGUAUUAAUUGAUUAUUUAAAGCUUGACCCGCCUCUUGUAAAGCACAAUAUCUGUAAUUAUUGAGUUCUAUAUAUACAUUCCAU